CAGCUCCAGCGUUUUGGGAGGCAGUAGUUGAGAAUCCCUGAAUGGGUACGCUGUAACUCUUACAUCUUCCUAGAGAUAUGAACUUCUGAAGUAGCUAAAAACUACAAACAAAUGUUCCCACUGCCCAUUUUCCUGCCCUCUCCCUGUAGGCCCAAGGUGUCCAGAAACAAGUGCAAGAGGUGUGAAGGAAGCAGCUUAGUCUCUAAGGCUCAGAGAAGGCAGCAAGGAAGAGCAGCAGUAGGCCUCAAAGGUUUGAGAGUAGGCCCCUUGCAGGAAAGUGGGGCUCACCAGAAAUGCCUACCCUUGACGGCCCUGAAAUUUUGAGGGCAGCCAAAUGAGGACGCAGUAAAAACUGCCAGUGCCAGAAGUCUAAUGUGUGAAACCAGCAUUCUAUAAGGAAUUGAGAGCUGAACACCCUGUUCUUCAAAAUGUGCAACUUUAUAUAGUGGUGUUACUAUUCUUGAUGCCAGCCCCUCAGUGGAAAGUACGCAAUUUUCUGUGACUGACAGUUUUUCCCGUGUUACCUAAAACAGAGAGAGAACAACCACAUGCAAAAUUUAUUGGUGCUCAUUGGUUGAAAGAAUAUUGUCAGGCUACAAAGGCAAGAGCAGCUGGAAAACACACCAGACUUGGGAGAAUCAAGAAUUAUUUUUGGCUGUGGGAAAAUUUGUGCAUCCUUUUGUGAGACACAUUAUGUAAGAACCAUCUCUGUGAGUACAAACUGAACCGGGGUAUACCCCAAUGCAGAAAAAGGAACUGUGCUUAAAUUAAAAUGUCUAAAUUCUUAGUUGUUUUUGCAGGCAUGCUUAUACGGAGGCCUGAAUUUUUGUUUCUGCUUGCAAUGUCUCCUUGAAGGAGAAACAACCUUGGUUGGUGU